AGAGUUUGAUCCUGGCUCAGGAUUAACGCUGGCGGCGUGUCUAAUACAUGCAAGUCGAACGCCCUCUUCGGAGUGAGUGGCAAACGGGUGAGUAACGCGUUGGUAUCUACCUUGAAGUGAGGGAUAACUCCGAGAAAUCGGAGCUAAUACCGCAUAUGGCCUAAGGGUUAAAGAUUUAUUGCCAUUGGAUGAGCCCGCGUCCUAUCAGCUUGUUGGUGAGGUAAUGGCUUACCAAGGCAACGAUCCGUAGCUGGUCUGAGAGGAUGAUCAGCCACAAUGAGACUGAGACACGGCUCAUACUCCUACGGGAGGCAGCAGUAAGGAAUCUUUCACAAUGGGGGAAACCCUGAUCCAGCCAUGCCGCGUGAGUGAAGAAGGCCCUAGGGUUGUAAAGCUCUUUCAGCGGGAAGAAUUCUGACGGUACUCCAGGAAUAAGCACCGGCUAACUCCGUGCCAGCAGCCGCGGUAAUACGGAGGGUGCAAGCGUUAUCCGGAAUUUUGGGCGUAAAGAGUUCGUAGGCGGUUUGUUAAGUCAGGGGUGAAAUCCCAGACCUCAACUCUGGAACUGCCUCUGAUACUGGCAAUCUCGAGUCCGGAAGAGGUUUGUGGAAUUCCGAGUGUAGAGGUGAAUUUCGUAGAUAUUCGGAGGAACACCAGAGGCGAAGGCGGCCAACUGGUCCGAGACUGACGCUGAGGAGCGAAAGCGUGGGGAGCGAACGGGAUUAGAUACCCCGGUAGUCCACGCCGUAAACUACGGAUACUAGAUAUUGGUCGGUAUACUCAUCAGUGUCGCAGCAAACGCAUAAGUAUCCCGCCUGGGGACUACGGUCGCAAGACUAAAACUCAAAUGAAUUGACGG
rnacentral:rRNA from 1 species